rnacentral:lncRNA from 10 species
CCCGUCCCUAGGGCUGGGUUAAGGGCCGCGGAUGUGGCAGUUCUCAGGCCUCUUGGGAUCGCCUCAAGAAGCCCCCUCACGAGUGUCUCGAUUUCCUGUCAGCCAACAAAGGGCCGUUCGCCUUUCAUGGCCUCCACAGCAGCGUUGCCGUGUUUUUCAGGUUAAGUACUGCACGACUACUCGCUUCUGAAACUGAUAGACACUGCCUCAGCUCCGUGCAGGGCAGACGCACAAGAGCAGAAUCUCCGUGGGACAUCUCUCUGGAGCAUCAAUAUUACUGCAGUAUUUGGAAGAAACAAAUUUAAAUAAGUUCUAAGGUGAAGAAUGGAACAUUUAAGACAAGUCUGGAAAGUCAUCUGCCUUUAAUAACUGUCGUUUGUCCUUAACGUCAGACUUUCUCCAAGACCAAAACUCUAAGAACUUAUUUCCAUUCUUACAAAUAGUAAAAAUGAUAAAUCAUAUCAAGUCAAUUGAAAGUCCUGCCUGCUGCUUUCCUAAAUUGCAAUAUGGCCUUGGUAUGGUUUUAUUUGUACUUUUGUGGGGGAUUCGUGGAUCUUUAGAUUAAAAAAAAAAAAAUAGGUUUUUGAACAAUUUUUGCAAGUUUGCAGCUGUUAGUUAUUGAUUUAUUUUUCCAACCCAUCUAAUUCUUCUGUCUCUCUCCUCUCCUCAGGCUCAAUAAUUCCAUGGGUCUCUAAGGCUGUGUUUAUUUUCUUUAAAUUUUGUUGAUUUACUUUUAUACUCCAUUUGAUUUUUUCUAUCUCUCACCUUUUCUCAGACUCAGUCAUCCCACAGGUCUGUAAGGCUCUGUUCAUUUUCUUUAAACUUCUUUUUUUUUUCCUCUCCUCAGAUUGGAUAAAUUAUAUUGCUAUGUCUCUGUUUCUGAACUAUAGAAAAGCUCAAA